rnacentral:rRNA from 1 species
GUUAUGGGGUCAAGCGACUAAGUGCAUGUGGUGGAUGCCUUGGCGAUCACAGGCGAUGAAGGACGUGACAGCCUGCGAAAAGCUCCGGGGAGCUGGCAAAUGAGCAUUGAUCCGGAGAUGUCCGAAUGGGGAAACCCGGCCCGCAAGGGUCACUCCCUGCUGAAUACAUAGGCAGGGCAGAGCGAACCCGGUGAACUGAAACAUCUCAGUAGCCGGAGGAAGAGAAAUCAACCGAGAUUCCGCCAGUAGUGGCGAGCGAACGCGGAACAGCCAGUCAUUUUUAGCCGACGACUCAGUGGAACGCUCUGGAAAGGGCGGCCGCAGUGGGUGAUAGCCCCGUACACGAAGGGAUGUCGGUGGAACUAAGGUGACGACAAGUAGGGCGGGACACGUGAAAUCCUGUCUGAAGACGGGGGGACCAUCCUCCAAGGCUAAAUACUCGUGAUCGACCGAUAGUGAACCAGUACCGUGAGGGAAAGGCGAAAAGAACCCCGGAAGGGGAGUGAAACAGAUCCUGAAACCGCAUGCAUACAAACAGUCGGAGCUCCGUGCUUCAACCGCUUUGCGGUUGACGCACUCCGCAGUUGUCAGUUGACAGUUGUCAGUUGUCAGUAACUUCACGUCGUGCCGAUGCGCUGCGCAUCGACUCGACAUGCCUUUACUGACAACUGACAGCUGACAACUGACAACUGCUUCAACGGCAGAGCCGUUGAAGCACGGAGUGACGGCGUACCUUUUGUAUAAUGGGUCAGCGACUUACGUUCUGUUGCGAGCUUAACCGCAUAGGGAAGGCGCAGCGAAAGCGAGUCCGAACAGGGCGCUUGAGUAGCAGGGCGUAGACCCGAAACCGGAUGAUCUAGCCAUGGCCAGGCUGAAGCGGGGGUAACACCUCGUGGAGGGCCGAACCCACUACCGUUGAAAAGGUAGGGGAUGAGCUGUGGCUAGGGGCGAAAGGCUAAACAAAUCCGGAGAUAGCUGGUUCUCUCCGAAAGCUAUUGAGGUAGCGCCUCGUGUAUCACCUUCGGGGGUAGAGCACUGUCAUGGUAGUGGGGAGCAUCGCGCUCUACCACGCCAUUGCAAACUCCGAAUACCGAAGAGUGCGAGCACGGGAGACAGACGGUGGGUGCUAACGUUCAUCGUCGAGAGGGAAACAACCCAGACCCUCAGCUAAGGUCCCCAAGACACGGUUAAGUGGGAAACGAGGUGGGAAGGCACAGACAGCCAGGAUGUUGGCUUAGAAGCAGCCAUCAUUCAAAGAAAGCGUAAUAGCUCACUGGUCGAGUCGUCCUGCGCGGAAGAUGUAACGGGGCUCAAAUCGUGCACCGAAGCUAGGGGUUCAGGAGUCAGUUGUCAGUUGACAGUUGACAGUAACAGCCAAUGGCGCUGAUGCGCUUCGAGGAGUUGGAGGUAUUCAAGCGUGCGUACCGGGUGUCGCUCGACAUCCACCGUGCGAGCUUGACGUUUCCGUCCUUGGAGCAGUACGCGCUGGCCGAUCAGGUCCGGCGCAGCAGCAAGGGCAUCUGCGCCAACAUCGCCGAAGGGUUCGGCAAAUCCACUCGCUCGAAGGCGGAACUGCAGAGGUUCCUGUCGAUGGCGGUCGGGUCGGCCGACGAGAUGCGGGUGUGGCUACGUUACUGUCUGGACUUGGGGUACAUCUCCGAGUCGAGUUGGCAAGCAUGGCGCGACGAGUACGAAGAGAUCGCGAAGAUGCUGCAGGGGCUGAUUAGAAGCGUGCGACGGGAGUAGGCGCUUCUACUGGCAACUGCCAACUGUCAACUGGCUCCUGGACGGUAGGAGAGCGUUCCGUAGGCCUGUGAAGGCGGCUGGAGACGGCUGCUGGAGGUAUCGGAAGUGCGAAUGCUGACAUGAGUAGCGAUAAAGCAGGUGAAAGGCCUGCUCGCCGUAAGCCCAAGGUUUCCUGCGCCACGUUCAUCGGCGCAGGGUGAGUCGGCCCCUAAGGUGAGGACGAGAGUCGUAGCUGAUGGGAAGCGGGUCAAUAUUCCCGCACCGACGUGGAAUGCGAUGGGGGGACGGAGAAGGUUAACCAGGCCGGGUGUUGGACGUCCCGGUUCAAGCGUGUAGGCGUGCCCGAUCGGCAAAUCCGUCGGGCUUAGUCGAGGCGCGACGUCGAGGGCCGGCUUGCCGGUCCGAAGCGGGUGAUACCAGGCUCCCGGGAAAAGCCUCUAAGCUUCAGUUCCACGACGACCGUACCGCAAACCGACACAGGUGGGCGAGCUGAAUAUGCUCAGGCGCUUGAGAGAACUCAGGAGAAGGAACUCGGCAAAUUGACACCGUAACUUCGGGAUAAGGUGUGCCCUCGGUAGGUGAACCCGUACAGGGGGAGCCGAAGGGGGCCGCAGAGAAUCGGUGGCUGCGACUGUUUAACAAAAACACAGCACUCUGCAAAGACGAGAGUCGACGUAUAGGGUGUGACGCCUGCCCGGUGCCGGAAGGUUAAGUGAUGGGGUGCAAGCUCUUGAUCGAAGCCCCGGUAAACGGCGGCCGUAACUAUAACGGUCCUAAGGUAGCGAAAUUCCUUGUCGGGUAAGUUCCGACCUGCACGAAUGGCGUAACGAUGGCCACACUGUCUCCUCCUGAGACUCAGCGAAGUUGAAGUGUUUGUGAAGAUGCAAUCUCCCCGCGGCAAGACGGAAAGACCCCGUGCACCUUUACUGUAGCUUUGCAUUGGACUGUGAUGAGGUUUGUGUAGGAUAGCUGGGAGGCUUUGAAGUGGGGGCGCCAGCUCUCAUGGAGCCAACGUUGAAAUACCAGCCUGACGUCAUUGCGGUUCUAACCUUGGGCCGUUAUCCGGCUCGGGGACCGUGCAUGGCAGGCAGUUUGACUGGGGCGGUCUCCUCCCAAAGCGUAACGGAGGAGCUCGAAGGUUCGCUUAGCGCGGUCGGACAUCGCGCUUCAAUGUGUAAGGGCACAAGCGAGCUUGACUGCGAGACUGACAAGUCGAGCAGGUGCGAAAGCAGGACCUAGUGAUCCGGUGGUUCUGAAUGGAAGGGCCAUCGCUCAACGGACAAAAGGUACGCCGGGGAUAACAGGCUGAUACCGCCCAAGAGUUCAUAUCGACGGCGGUGUUUGGCACCUCGAUGUCGGCUCAUCACAUCCUGGGGCUGUAGCCGGUCCCAAGGGUAUGGCUGUUCGCCAUUUAAAGUGGUACGUGAGCUGGGUUCAAAACGUCGUGAGACAGUUUGGUCCCUAUCUGCCGUGGGCGCUGGAGAUUUGACGGGAGCUGCUCCUAGUACGAGAGGACCGGAGUGGACGCACCGCUGGUGUACCGGUUGUGACGCCAGUCGCAUCGCCGGGUAGCUAUGUGCGGAAGUGAUAACCGCUGAAAGCAUCUAAGCGGGAAACACGCCUGAAGAUGAGAUCUCCCGGGGGCUAGACCCCCCUGAAGGGUCGUGGCAGACCACCACGUUGAUAGGCCGGAGGUGGAAGCGCGGCAACGCGUUGAGCUGACCGGUACUAAUCGCCCGUGCGGCUUGAUCCCAUAACCUUGCG